ACAUAAACAAACUCUAGCAGAUCUUUUGAUGACAGCACUAAAACCAAACAUAGAUCAAUUUUUUUAAAAAUGAGCUAAACUCACCUAUUAAAGUACAACCUCCAGAAUAAAUAACAAAAAAAAUCCAAAUACAUGCUACAUAAAAAAAUCUAGGCCGAGCGUGGUGGCUCACGCCUGUAAUCCCAGCACUCUGGGAGGCCGAGGUGGGUGGAUCACAAGGUCAGGAGAUCGAGACCAUCCUGGCUAACAUGGUGAAACCCCAUCUCCACUAAAAAUACAAAAAAUUCGCCGGGCAUGGUGGCGGGCACCUGUAGUCCCAGCUACUCCGGCGGCUGAGGCAGGAGAAUGGUGUGAGCCCGGGAGGCGGAGCAUAAGGUGAGCCGAGAUCGAGCCACUGCACUCCAGCCUGGGGUACAGAGCGAGACUCCGUCUCAAAAAUAAAUAAAUAAAAUAAAAUAAAAUAAAAUGAUUCAGAAGGAUUGAAAAUAAA
rnacentral:lncRNA from 1 species